rnacentral:rRNA from 1 species
AUACGGAGGGUGCAAGCGUUAUUCGGAAUCACUGGGCGUAAAGGACGCGUAGGCGGGUUGGCAAGUCAGAUGUGAAAUCCUACAGCUUAACUGUAGAACUGCAUUUGAAACUGCUAACCUAGAGUAUGGGAGGGGGAGAUGGAAUUAGUGGUGUAGGGGUAAAAUCCGUAGAUAUCACUAGGAACACCGAAAGCGAAGGCGAUCUCCUGGAACAUAACUGACGCUAAGGCGUGAAAGCGUGGGGAGCAAACAGGAUUAGAAACCCUAGUAGUCC